GCAUUAUUAAACAUACAAGUACUACCUCAACUACCACCAGCAGUGGCUCUAUGACUGACACUGGUCCGUUGGAUACACUGAACACACUUUACAACGACAUCCACAAAACCAACACUUUGCUCAUUCAGAGAUACACAUCAUAGAUUUAAGCCUUCAUUCAAAAUGGUGAUGAAGCUUGUCUAAUAAAGAUAACCUUUAUGGGAUAUACUCAUUGGUGUAAAGAUUAAUCGACAGACACAGCAGUUACACGAUUAGAAAAUAUCACAAGUAAUAUUGUAUUUUUUGCGUUUUUAUUAAAUGUUCAACAUGUGACAAAUCCAAGCAAGGGGUAAAAACCAGAGAGAAUAAUGUUAAUGAAUCAAACACGUGUUAUUUUAAUGUAAUUCAACAAAAGCUACAGUGCCACCUGAGACAGAGA